ACGGGUGAGUAACGCGUAGGUAACCUGCCUGGUAGUGGGGGAUAACUAUUGGAAACGAUAGCUAAUACCGCAUAAUAGCAGUUGUUGCAUGACAGCUGUUUGAAAGGUGCAAUUGCACCACUACCAGAUGGACCUGCGUUGUAUUAGCUAGUUGGUGGGGUAAAGGCUGACCAAGCCGACGAUCUCUAGCUGGUCUGAGAGGAUGACCAGCCACACUGGAACUGAGACACGGUCCAGACUCCUACGGGAGGCAGCAGUGGGGAAUAUUGCACAAUGGGGGGAACCCCGAUGCAGCCAUGCCGCGUGAAUGAAGAAGGCCUUCGGGUUGUAAAGUUCUUUCGGUGACGAGGAAGAUUGAUAGGUUAAUAGUCUAUCAAAUUGACGUUAAUCACAGAAGAAGCACCGGCUAACUCCGUGCCAGCAGCCGCGGUAAUACGGGGGGUGCGAGCGUUAAUCGGAAUAACUGGGCGUAAAGGGCACGCAGGCGGUGACUUAAGUGAGAUGUGAAAGCCCCGAGCUUAACUUGGGAAUUGCAUUUCAUACUGGGUCGCUAGAGUACUUUAGGGAGGGGUAGAAUUCCACGUGUAGCGGUGAAAUGCGUAGAGAUGUGGAGGAAUACCGAAGGCGAAGGCAGCCCCUUGGGAAUGUACUGACGCUCAUGUGCGAAAGCGUGGGGAGCAAACAGGAUUAGAUACCCUGGUAGUCCACGCUGUAAA
rnacentral:rRNA from 1 species